AUUUGGUGACAGUACCCUGUAGGAGAAGAUAAAGCCAUGUGGAUGUGCUUGACAUUAUGAAUGACAAGGAUCCUUUAGCCAAACAGGAAUUGAUGGAAACAAGUGGAAAAGAUAAGACUUAUGGAUGUUGCCCCUCCAAGAUGUGAAAAUGAGCAGCUACAGCCAAACAGGAAUUUCAGGAAACAAGUGGAAAAGACAAGAAUGAUGGACAUUGACCCUCCAGGAUGUGGAAAUGAGAAGCUACAGCCAGACAGAAAUUAAUUGAAACAAAUGGAAAUACCAAGACUGAUGGAUGUUGACCCUCCAAGAUGUGGAAGGAGCAGCCAGACAGGAAUUAGUGGAAACAAAUUGAAAAGGAAAGACUGAUGGAUGUUGACCUUCCCAACAGCAAGACUUACCACAGUGGAUAACUGUCACUGAUCAGUGUGCUUCGAAGAUUUGGUGACAGUACCCUGUAGGAGACUCAGAUAAAGCCAUGUGGAUGUGCUUGACAUUAUGAAUGACUAGGAUCCCUCAGAAAAUAAAAGUAUUGAAGAGGCAUAUCCUUGUGAUCAUGUUUGGAGAAAGACAAAGAAAGAUGACAAUGCAGAAAGCCAUAUUCAUGAUGCACACACAAUCACAUCCAAUUUACAAUGUUAUUAUUUUAUUAUCCAAAACAAAUCUUUUUGAAACAUUUGUUUUGGAAAUGGGUGUCUGAGUUGUAAGAGGGUGUGGGGUCGCCCACUCAGACACGUGGGUUUUCUCCGGGUGCUCCGGUUUCCUCCCACACUGACCCCAUUCUUUUUCUCUAAGCCAAUGAAAUAAUUAUGUUAACUUUGAAAAUAUUCUAAAGGAAAUAUUUUUUAUUAUCUAUUGUUUUGCUAUAAUUGUGAUUAGUCUGUACAAAUUCACUCGAGCUAUUAUAACAAGAUGGUUAAUGGUGACUACUAAUUUAUUGUGUUAUUGAAUGUAAAUAAGCAUUUAUUAUUCAUGUGACUAAUUCUGUGGUGAAAAUACAUGGAAAUGUUUGUUGAUUGUACAUGUAUUAGUAAAUGUUAAAUGACACGAGAAUGGUGAAUUGUGAUGAGUUAUUAUGCAGUGAAAGUACAUGUAAAUGUCAAUCGUUUGUAUUAGUAAAUGUAAAUUUGUGACAGUGAAUGGUGAAUUGUGACUAGUUCUGCAGUGAAAGUACAUGUCAAUGUUAAAUUAGUAGUGAAUGUUAAAUUGUGACAGUGAAUGGUGAAUUGUGAUUAGUUCUGCAGUGAAAGUACAUUUCAAUGUUAAAUUAGUAGUUAAUGUUAAAUUGUGACAGUGAAUGGUGAAUUGUGAAUAGUUCUGCAGUGAAAGUACAUGUCAAUGUUAAAUAAGUAGUUAAGAUUAAAUUGUGACAGUGAAUGAUGAUUGAGACUAGAAAUGCAGUGAAAUUACAUGUUAAUGUUAAUUGUAUUAGUAAAUGUUAAAUUGUGACAGAGAAUGAUUAAUUUUGAAUUGUGCAUUGUUAGAUUUUCUGAUCUCAUUAGCUAAAGUUUUGUGCAGUGUUAAAAAAAAUCACAACCAAAAA